ACGCCUCCAACUGCGGCAGUUCCUUUGAAUUUUGACGCCACUCCCACUCCACGUAGGGCUAAGCUGCCUGCCAGACUCGGAAGAAACCGGUGGCGGCGAGCCAGCGGGAGCGCGCGCAGCAACGGACAGGAACGCGGCAGGCGGGCGGCGCGCACCUCCCCCGGAAAGGCCGGGAAGAAAAGACCCACAGCUUUUCCACGCGGUGCUUCAGGAACGGCCGCGCCCCCACGUGCUCUCGGGUGCAAUCCGUAACAGAAGGAAGGAAGGACAGCCUCGCUCUGACUGCACCCUAAACUAUAAAGGGACCUGCGCGGAAAGCUGAGGGUUCUCUUUGCGCUGUACUGGUGACACCUAAGUGACAUCGGAUUAUAUGCACAUGAACCCUUUCACAGGGACCAUGGCGUCAUCAUUCUUAACAUCAUCAAAGCAGUUGCAAAAAGAUACCAAGAUGAAGGGGUGCCCAAAGCAUCCGAGAGAACUCGUCACAGAAAAUAACUUGAUUAAAACCUGACUCUUUUAAAAGUGGCCAUGCGGACCAGGACGGUGAACACUUCCCUGACCAUGUCUUACUCAGAGCCUUAAGAAGAGUUGGAGGUGGAGCGGAGCUGUGGGGAGGGGCCCAGUGUCUCUCAGAACUUCUCAUCCUCCGGGCUUCCCUAGGAUGCAAUGGGUCAGAGCUCCCAGAUCUCUUAUGCCUCCAAACACAUUGAUUCCCCCCAACUUUUUUACAACGGAUUUCCCAGUUCCUACCAAUCUCAUCUCUCUAAGUAAAUAAGAAGGGGUUUCUACUGAUGGCUUUCCCAUGGCCCGGCUUCAUGCUGCUCCUGUCAGGAUGGAUCAGGAAAGGAGCUGGACCUGAAGAUGAAUCUACCAUACAGUAGGUAGAGGCACGUGACAAGCACGCGCCAAGUCCUAAGCUGAUGCCCGCUAUCAGAAUUAACUGGGUGUGGUGGUGCGUGUUUGUAAUGCCACACUUGAGAGGUCCCAGCAGGAUGGCCAGAACUUCAGCUCAGCUACAGUGCAAGCUGGAGGCCAACCUGUGCUACAUGAGACGCUGUCUAAAUGACAAAACACAUCAAACAGACAAACAAAAGGGCUAAGGUUGGCUAAGGGAGAUCGAGUCAGAAAACCAGCUUGCAUGGAGAAUGCGCUCCUGGAAGCAAGGAUAUCGUUUACAGCCAUAAAAUGAUAAUAACCUGGUAGGAAAACGGGGUGGGAUUUAUAAGUGUCUUCAACAUGCAGAACGAGUAAAACUCACUACACUUCUCAAAAAUGGCAGUGUGGGGACCUUUGAGAGGGGCUCAGUGGGUGAAGGAGUUUGCUAUGGAGCCAAAUGACCUGAGUUCAAGCCCCACCACCCACAAGGUAGAAGGAAAGGAACAACUCCCGCAAGCUGUCUUCUGACCUCCGUGGUGGUACUAUAGCACGCCUUUGCCCCUACCCCACACAAAUAAGAAAACAACAAACAAAUAAACAAAUAAAUAUAAAUAAAACC
rnacentral:lncRNA from 1 species